UGUACUGCUAACAUUUUGGUAUUCAUAAAAGUAUGAUAUUAAAAUAACGCAAGGGAAAAAAUACGUCCCACCUGUUUAGGAAGUGGGAAAUAAACGUCGUACUUGUGUUGUUUCAUUCCGGUGGAUAAUAGAGGAGGGACCAGCUAGUUUUGAAGAACAUUUUUUUGUUAUGAGAGUUUCUCGCCUAGGCUGUUUAAACAAAAUGGGGAACUUUAAAGGAUUUCUGAGCACAGCACUGGUCUUUCUGAUAUUCGAGUUGUGUCUGGUGUGCUGUGAUAUAACGGACGGAAACACAGAACAUCUGAAGAGAGAGAACUCGUUAAUGAAACCCUACCAAGGUGUUGGCAGCAGCCCUAGUAGUCAGUGGGACUUCUGGGGAAGCACGUUGGUGACGAGCUCAUACGUCCGACUCACUCCGGAUGAGAGAAGCAAGCAGGGAUCCAUCUGGAAUACUGUGCCGUGUUACCUGAAAGACUGGGAGAUGCAUGUGCACUUUAAAGUUCAUGGGUCGGGAAAGAAGAAUCUCCACGGCGACGGCAUCGCUGUCUGGUACACAAAGGACAAACUGCAUCCAGGCCCUGUGUUUGGAAACCAAGAUCAGUUUCUUGGCCUGGCUAUUUUUGUGGAUUCCUUCCGCAAUGACCUCCAUGGAAUGGAUCGUUCCUUCCCGUACAUUUCGGCCAUGGUGAACAAUGGCUCGGUGAAUUACGACCACGGCAAAGAUGGCCGCUCGUCGGAGCUGGGAGGCUGCUCAGCGGAGAUCAGGAACAGAGAGCACGACACGUACCUCGCCAUUCGCUACUCCAAAGGAAGACUCACUGUGAUGGUUGAUGUGGAGGACAAGAAUGAAUGGAAGGAGUGCAUAGACAUCGGAGGUGUUCGUCUUCCUACCGGAUAUUUCUUUGGUGCCUCAGCAGCUACAGGAGAUCUGUCUGAUAACCAUGACAUCAUCUCUAUGAAGCUCUACCAGCUGAUGGUAGAACACACCCCCGAGGAGGAGAACCAGGACUGGACAAAGAUCGAGCCCAGCGUCAGCCUCCUUAAAUCCCCUAAAGACAACAUUGACGAUCCUACUGGAAACUUCCGAGGCACGCCCCUCACCGGCUGGAAGGUCUUCCUGCUUCUGCUGUGUGCUCUGCUGGGAAUCGUAGUGUGCGGCGUGGUGGGAGCUGUAGUUUUCCAGAAGAGACAGGAGAGGAACAAGAGGUUUUACUGAGGAGAGGAGAAGAAAGGAGAACCUUAUCAGAGAUGUGUUUUGUUGUGGAAUGAACUGUUUCCAGAUGACAGAUUGAGCACAUUCAAUGUGAAUUUUUUUCUAAAGAUUGUACAAAUGUUUAUAUCUUCGAAGCACUGCGUUUGGAGCAAAUUAUGGUAAGUUGUGAUGUUGGUAAGAAGGCGCAAAACUAGUAGCGACCAUGAGUGGCCCUGAUCAAGGCUGUUUUUGCUCUCCGUGUGUUCAUUAAUUGCAGGGUUAGAAUAACUUUGUCCUUUAAAAACUUUGGAGUCUUUCAAUGUCUUCAACGAUUGUUGUCAACACCUACCUAGUGGUUUGGUAUGUGAUGCUGAAAAAUGGUCAACUUUUGGCACAGAAUAGUAAUUUAGAUAUUUGUCUUCCAGGCUUUUUAACUGAUUAUUUAUUGGAUAAAGAAAGUAGCUCCAUACACCCGAAAUAACGUCGGAUAAAAAAACAUUAUGAAAUAAUUGAGACAACCACAGGAACCAUCCACAUUAAAGCUGCGGGAGGCAGAAUAAUCAU